rnacentral:rRNA from 1 species
AUUGAACGCUAGCGGCAGGCCUAACACAUGCAAGUCGAACGAGUGGCGGACGGGUGAGUAAUGUCUGGGAAACUGCCUGAUGGAGGGGGAUAACUACUGGAAACGGUGGCUAAUACCGCAUACCAUCGGAUGUGCCCAGAUGGGAUUAGCUAGUGGGUGGGGUAAAGGCUCACCAAGGCAACGAUCCCUAGCUGGUCUGAGAGGAUGACCAGCCACACUGGGACUGAGACACGGUCCAGACUCCUACGGGAGGCAGCAGUGGGGAAUUUUGCACAAUGGGGGAAACCCUGAUGCAGCCAUGCCGCGUGUAUGAAGAAGGCCUUCGGGUUGUAAAGUACUUUCAGCGGGGAGGCGUUACCCGCAGAAGAAGCACCGGCUAACUCCGUGCCAACAGCCGCGGUAAUUC